AUAUGGACAGCAGACAAUACUGACUAGUCAAGGACUUGUCUUUAGAUUGUUUGGGUUCAUCACCUGUCCUCUAUACCCCACAUUCCACUAUAAGGUCCUAUAAUAUCAUAACCUUACCUUACUCAUUUGAUAGUAUACUGCAUAUAUAGACAAUCCAUAUAUGUGUGUGUGCAGGUUUGUAUUUACUGAAUAUAAUACAUGUGGCUGAAAUUGUUCCCUUAGUUACAAGUUUCUAUCAACUACUUUUUCAUUGAUAUGUGAUAGAAUUUUAGUUAGAGAUCAGGUUGAAGCAAAUUGAAAUAAGUGCAGUCGCUGCUAGUACAAAUUCAAAUCAGCUUGUUUUCAAGAUAAUGAUCAAGUAUGAAUCUUUCUCUGAAUUCCUCCCAUAUGAGAAAAGUUUUCCUUUUGGGCAGAAUCUUUCGGUGCUUGGAGCUGGAUUUCUGACCUGAGAUAUUGGUGUGCUGGGGGGAGAGAGGGCAAGAAUGCAAGUGAAAGAGAAAGGGGAGGCGAAGG